AGUGAACGCUGGCGGUAGGCCUAACACAUGCAAGUCGAACGGCAGCACAGUAAGAGCUUGCUCUUACGGGUGGCGAGUGGCGGACGGGUGAGGAAUACAUCGGAAUCUACUUUUUCGUGGGGGAUAACGUAGGGAAACUUACGCUAAUACCGCAUACGACCUACGGGUGAAAGCAGGGGAUCUUCGGACCUUGCGCGAUUGAAUGAGCCGAUGUCGGAUUAGCUAGCUGGCGGGGUAAAGGCCCACCAAGGCGACGAUCCGUAGCUGGUCUGAGAGGAUGAUCAGCCACACUGGAACUGAGACACGGUCCAGACUCCUACGGGAGGCAGCAGUGGGGAAUAUUGGACAAUGGGCGCAAGCCUGAUCCAGCCAUACCGCGUGGGUGGAGAAGGCCUUCGGGUUGUAAAGCCCUUUUGUUGGGAAAGAAAAGCAGCAGGUUAAUACCCCGCUGUUCUGACGGUACCCAAAGAAUAAGCACCGGCUAACUUCGUG
rnacentral:rRNA from 1 species